rnacentral:rRNA from 1 species
GUGGGGAAUAUUGCACAAUGGGCGCAAGCCUGAACCAGCCAUCCCGCGUGCAGGAAGACGGCGCUAUGCGUUGUAAACUGCUUUUCCAGGGAGAGAAACUUGCGCACGUGUUGCGCAAUUGACGGUACCCUGGGAAUAAGCAUCGGCUAACUCCGUGCCAGCAGCCGCGGUAAUACGGAGGAUGCGAGCGUUAUCCGGAUUCAUUGGGUUUAAAGGGUGCGUAGGCGGACUAUUAAGUCAGUGGUGAAAUCCUGCAGCUUAACUGCAGAACUGCCAUUGAUACUGAUAGCCUUGAGUUUGGUUAAGGUAGGCGGAAUGUGUAAUGUAGCGGUGAAAUGCUUAGAUAUUACACAGAACACCAAUUGCGUAGGCAGCUUACUGAGCCGACACUGACGCUGAGGCACGAAAGCGUGGGGAUCGAACAGGAUUAGAUACCCGGGUAGUCC